AUUGAACGCUGUCGGCAGGCCUAACACAUGCAAGUCGAGCGGGGUUUUCGGACCUAGCGGCGGACGGGUGAGUAAUGCGUAGGAAGCUGCCCGAUAGAGGGGGAUACCAGUUGGAAACGACUGUUAAUACCGCAUAAUGUCUACGGACCAAAGUGUGGGACCUUCGGGCCACAUGCUAUCGGAUGCGCCUACGUGGGAUUAGCUAGUUGGUGAGGUAAUGGCUCACCAAGGCGACGAUCUCCAGCUGGUUUGAGAGGAUGAUCAGCCACACUGGAACUGAGACACGGUCCAGACUCCUACGGGAGGCAGCAGUGGGGAAUAUUGGACAAUGGGCGCAAGCCUGAUCCAGCCAUGCCGCGUGUGUGAAGAAGGCCUUCGGGUUGUAAAGCACUUUCAGCGAGGAGGAAGGGUGGUGUGUUAAUAGCACAUCAUUUUGACGUUACUCGCAGAAGAAGCACCGGCUAACUCUGUGCCAGCCGCCGCCGUAAAAC
rnacentral:rRNA from 1 species